rfam:Myotis brandtii contig279679, whole genome shotgun sequence.
GGCCAGGUAGCUCAGUUGGUUAGAGCAUCGUCCUGAUAUGCGAAGGUUUUGGGUUCGAUCCCAGUAAGGACA